UACGAAGGGGGCUAGCGUUGCUCGGAAUCACUGGGCGUAAAGGGUGCGUAGGCGGGUCUUUUAAGUCAGGGGUGAAAUCCUGGAGCUCAACUCCAGAACUGCCUUUGAUACUGAAGAUCUUGAGUUCGGGAGAGGUGAGUGGAACUGCGAGUGUAGAGGUGAAAUUCGUAGAUAUUCGCAAGAACACCAGUGGCGAAGGCGGCUCACUGGUCCAUUACUGACGCUGAGGUGCGAAAGCGUGGGGAGCAAACAGG
rnacentral:rRNA from 1 species